AUUGAACGCUGGCGGCAUGCUUUACACAUGCAAGUCGAACGGUAACAGCACUUCGGUGGCUGACGAGCGGCGGACGGGUGGGUAAUACAUCGGAACGUACCUAGCAGUGGGGGGUAACUACUCGAAAGAGUAGCUAAUACCGCAUGAGAUCUAAGGAUGAAAGCAGGGGACCUUCGGGCCUUGCGCUACUAGAGCGGCUGAUGGCAGAUUAGGUAGUUGGUGGGAUAAAAGCUUACCAAGCCGACGAUCUGUAGCUGGUCUGAGAGGACGACCAGCCACACUGGGACUGAGACACGGCCCAGACUCCUACGGGAGGCAGCAGUGGGGAAUUUUGGACAAUGGGCGCAAGCCUGAUCCAGCAAUGCCGCGUGCAGGAUGAAGGCCUUCGGGUUGUAAACUGCUUUUGUACGGAACGAAAAGCCCUCUUCUAAUACAGGAGGGUCAUGACGGUACCGGAAGAAGAAGCACCGGCUAACUCCGUG
rnacentral:rRNA from 1 species